AAUCUUACCGGGUCCGGACACACUGAGGAUUGACAGACAGUUGUCUUUCCCUCCCUUCGGGGUGGGAUUACAAAAGAUAACAGAUCUUUCAUGAUCAUGUGAUGGGUGGUGCAUGGCCGUUCUUAGUUCGUGGAGUGAUCUGUCUGCUUAAUUGCGUUUCAAAUUUUAUAUUUGUUAACAUGCGAGUCUUCAAUGACGGCCACUCCACCUUAUAGACAUUAUAUGAUAUGCACAUUUGUGUAUUUGAUUAUAACUUGUCUGGAGUCUGGCUCGAUUUUUUUGACUCAAUUGAACGCAACGGACGUGAUUGCAAGUCCUUGUUGAACAAAUUAUAUAUAUACUACUUCAUCAUUAGUAUAUAUAGUUCGCUUCUCAUGUCGUAGCAGUCAAACGGGCGGGCGUCUUAAUUGGCGCGGUCACGAGGCUUAAUAUGCUGCGGCUGGGGAAAACUUGGGCGACCGCUGUAAUACUUCUCUCUUAAACCAGAGGAAGAUUGCGGCAAUAACAGGUCU
rnacentral:rRNA from 1 species